rnacentral:rRNA from 1 species
GAUGAACGCUGGCGGCGUGCCUAAUACAUGCAAGUAGAACGCUGAAGGAAGGAGCUUGCUCUUUCCGGAUGAGUUGCGAACGGGUGAGUAACGCGUAGGUAACCUGCCUGGUAGCGGGGGAUAACUAUUGGAAACGAUAGCUAAUACCGCAUAACAGUAGAUGUUGCAUGAUAUCUACUUAAAAGGUGCAAUUGCACCACUACCAGAUGGACCUGCGUUGUAUUAGCUAGUUGGUGAGGUAACGGCUCACCAAGGCGACGAUACAUAGCCGACCUGAGAGGGUGAUCGGCCACACUGGGACUGAGACACGGCCCAGACUCCUACGGGAGGCAGCAGUAGGGAAUCUUCGGCAAUGGACGGAAGUCUGACCGAGCAACGCCGCGUGAGUGAAGAAGGGUUUCGGAUCGUAAAGCUCUGUUGUAAGAGAAGAACGAGUGUGAGAGUGGAAAGUUCACACUGUGACGGUAUCUUACCAGAAAGAGACGGCUAACUACGUG